rnacentral:rRNA from 1 species
UUCGACCUGAACUCAGACGUGAGCACCCGCUGAACUUAAGCAUAU